rnacentral:rRNA from 1 species
CCUACGGGAGGCAGCAGUGGGGAAUAUUGCACAAUGGGCGCAAGCCUGAUGCAGCGACGCCGCGUGAGGGAUGACGGCCUUCGGGUUGUAAACCUCUUUCAGUAGGGAAGAAGCGAAAGUGACGGUACCUGCAGAAGAAGCGCCGGCUAACUACGUGCCAGCAGCCGCGGUAAUACGUAGGGCGCAAGCGUUAUCCGGAAUUAUUGGGCGUAAAGAGCUCGUAGGCGGUUUGUCGCGUCUGCCGUGAAAGUCCGGGGCUCAACUCCGGAUCUGCGGUGGGUACGGGCAGACUAGAGUGAUGUAGGGGAGACUGGAAUUCCUGGUGUAGCGGUGAAAUGCGCAGAUAUCAGGAGGAACACCGAUGGCGAAGGCAGGUCUCUGGGCAUUAACUGACGCUGAGGAGCGAAAGCAUGGGGAGCGAACAGGAUUAGAUACCCUGGUAGUCCAUGCCGUAAACGUUGGGCACUAGGUGUGGGGGACAUUCCACGUUUUCCGCGCCGUAGCUAACGCAUUAAGUGCCCCGCCUGGGGAGGUACGGCCGCGAGACGUAAACGUUAAAAGUAAAGUUAGUUAGCGUUGAGAGNGCCGACGGACGACGACGAGGGGAGGAGGAG